GCCAGCAGCCAUAUCACCCUGCAAUGCACAACUGACAACCCACUGAAGCUAAGCAGGUGUAAGUGUGGUCAGUACCUUGAUGGGAGACCUCCUGGGAAAAACUAAGGUUGCUGGAA
rnacentral:rRNA from 1 species